UGCAAAGGAUUUAAAAAAAGCAGACUCAGAAUAAUUUUUAUAUUUGUAGUGAGUGGAAGCAAUCGCAGAAGUGAAGUGUUCGAAGUUGAAUUGAAUUUGUAUUAUUUUGUAUUUAAAUUGUGUGCAUUUGUUGUUUUUGCUGUUGUUCGUGAAUAAAAAAAAGUUAUUCUACUUUUCACUGAUUUGACUGUCUGUCUGACAACCAAAACUAAUUUCACUUUAAUUCCGUCAUCCACCAUCACUUAUCUACCUCCAAUAAAUUAAAUUUAAGCAAAUCAAUAUGAGAUUAGUUAUUUUGGAUACAUCCGAGUCAGUUGGCUUAUGGGCUGCCAAAUAUGUUACGAAAAGAAUAAACGACUACAAGCCAGGGCCGGACAGAUACUUUGUUUUGGGUUUACCUACUGGUAGCACGCCUUUAAGUAUGUAUAGAAAUCUCAUACAAUUCCAUAAAGAAGGGAAAGUAUCCUUUGAAUAUGUGAAAACUUUUAAUAUGGAUGAAUAUGUGGGUUUACCACGUGAUCAUCCCGAAAGUUAUCAUUACUUUAUGUGGCAAAACUUUUUCAAGCACAUCAACAUCAAUCCGGCCAAUGUCCAUAUACUAGAUGGUAAUGCCAGUGAUUUAGUGGCCGAAUGCAAUAAAUUCGAAGACAUGAUUAAGGAAGCUGGAGGUGUAGAAUUAUUUAUUGGCGGCAUUGGUCCAGAUGGUCAUAUUGCUUUCAAUGAACCCGGUUCCUCUUUAGUGUCACGUACACGUGUCAAGACACUGGCUCAAGAUACUCUAGAAGCGAAUGCUAGAUUUUUCGAUAAUGAUAUAAGUAAAGUCCCUAAUAAAGCAUUGACUGUAGGCGUGGGUACUGUUAUGGAUUCAAAAGAAGUUAUGAUCCUUAUAACGGGUGCUCAUAAGGCGUUUGCUUUAUAUAAAGCCAUCGAAGAGGGUAUCAAUCAUAUGUGGACUGUUAGUGCUUUUCAACAACAUCCUAAUACUCUGAUGAUUUGUGAUGAAGAUGCCACUUUAGAAUUGCGUGUUAAGACUGUUAAAUAUUUUAAGGGCAUUCAAAGAGACCUCUACACAGCUGAAUAUGGAGAAAAUAACUGAAUAAAUACAAGUUGUUAUGUACCAUCAAAUAAAUAUACAUUUUGUUUCGUUAUGCCUAAUGGAUGUUCAUAUGAAACUUAUUGAAGGAAUGUAACCUUUAAUUAAUUAAUUUUUUAUCAUAUAUCUUUUUUUAAUUUUGUAUAUCGAUAAUUAUAUAUUGACACACUACUUUUACAAUUAAAAAAAUAAUGUUCCAUUUUUAUUAAUAAUUAUAACCCAAGGAUGGAAAUCGCAACUGAUUAAAACUUUAAUAUUACUAUCUAUCGACUGCUGGGAUAUCAACUUUGGUUUCCAAUUCUUAAUAA